AGUGAACGCUGGCGGUAGGCCUAACACAUGCAAGUCGAACGGCAGCACAGUAAGAGCUUGCUCUUACGGGUGGCGAGUGGCGGACGGGUGAGGAAUACAUCGGAAUCUACUUUUUCGUGGGGGAUAACGUAGGGAAACUUACACUAAUACCGCAUACGACCUACGGGUGAAAGCAGGGGAUCUUCGGACCUUGCGCGAUUGAAUGAGCCGAUGUCGGAUUAGCUAGUUGGCGGGGUAAAGGCCCACCAAGGCGACGAUCCGUAGCUGGUCUGAGAGGAUGAUCAGCCACACUGGAAAUGAGACACGGUCCAGACUCCUACGGGAGGCAGCAGUGGGGAAUAUUGGACAAUGGGCGCAAGCCUGAUCCAGCCAUACCGCGUGGGUGAAGAAGGCCUUCGGGUUGUAAAGCCCUUUUGUUGGGAAAGAAAAGCAGCAGGUUAAUACCCCGCUGUUCUGACGGUACCCAAAGAAUAAGCACCGGCUAACUUCGUG
rnacentral:rRNA from 1 species